rnacentral:misc_RNA from 1 species
AAGUCGUAACAAGGUAACCGUAGGUGAACCUGCGGUUGGAUCAUUAAAAAGAUCUUGCCUGGGCCGAGCCUGUCAACUGUAAUGGUUGAUAGGAUCGAAUCGGGCUUAUCUCACCUAAAAAGUGGGUUAAACAUCAUGUGAACUGUUCUGUCUCUGGCGGUGGGAUGGCUAAACACCAUCUGUCAGCCACCGAGGUAUACUCGGUGUGCCGUGGACAAGCCGCCAAUGGUGUAUGUUUCAUACAAACUUUUUGUUUUCAUAUAAUUUGUCUGACCUAACUUUGUAUCAAAAAAAUACAAAAACAACUUUUGGCAACGGAUCUCUUGGCUCCC